GGCCUUUCAAAUCAUGUAUAAACAAACAUUGCUCAGAAUUGUUUAUUGUUAGUAACGGUAGAUAUAACCUUUUUUUACAGAUAUAAAUUGAAUAAGUUUAUGUGCCUAUCCUACCUUACUAUCUACCCAUAACAGUGGUCCACCAAUCAACAGUAUAAAUUCAUUUUUUUUCCUUGGCUUUACGUGGAUGAAAAUCAUUUGGAUUCUCAAAAAUGUUGGAAAAUUUAAUACAAUUUGUUAUAGUUACCAACCUAUAAUAGGUAAAUCAUAAGUUGUUCCGUUGUUCGUAUGGGGUAUGACCAAAAAAAUAUCCAGUGUUCAACCAAAUUUGGUUUUUAUCUUCGUAAAAGUAUAUAAAUACUACCUAUAAACCUACUACAAGUAAUUAUAUAUAUAUAUAUAAAGUUGAAAUCUGACAAAUCUCAGAAAUGCCCUGGCAAAAGGUGAAGUGUUUACAUUACAUAUUUCAGCUUUUGCCUGUACAAACCUAGUUGUGAGCAAACUCAUUCGUGCAAAUCAUCCAUAAAUUUAUUUUGUAAAUAUGUAAAUAUAUAAAUCUAACAAUAAAAGUAGCUGCAGAUUUGCCUAAAUAUUUAUCGUAUAUUGUCACUACAUAAUAUGUCAAAAACCAGAUAUUUCCGUGCAAGGUCCAAUGUUUGACUAAAGGAGAGCGAGUAUUGUAAUAUUAUUAACAUGUUGCCAUUGGUACCUACCUACUGUAAAAAAUUAAAUGUACGUUACAGAUUUGCCCGAAGGAGGUCAGGGGCAUCAUUUAAACCUUUUGAAAAGUAUGCUGACAAAUAGACAGGCCAAAAAAAUGUUCAACAGGUUAAUAUAGAUUUUACUAUAGUUAUUAAAAAAAAAAAUUUUCUCCUUGACCUCAAAAAAUUAAACUAUUUUCCAUCUAAUGAUCC